rnacentral:rRNA from 1 species
UGAGGAACAUGACCUUCGGCGGGGGAUAGCCGGCCCAACGGCCGGGUAAUACCGCGUACGACCACAUGGGGACAUCCCCGAGUGGUGAAAGCAGCAAUGCGCCGAUGGAGUGCCUCGCGGCCUAUCAGCUUGUUGGUGAGGUAAUGGCUCACCAAGGCGACGAUGCGUAGCCGACUGAGAGGGUGAUCCGGCCACAGUUGGAACCGAGACACGGUCCAGACUCCGUAGGGA